rnacentral:rRNA from 1 species
AAAAACAUCGCCUUUAGCUACUACAAGUAUUAAAGGUCUCGCCUGCCCAAUGAAGCCCACUUUAAACGGCCGCGGUAUCCUAACCGUGCAAAGGUAGCGCAAUCACUUGUCCCCUAAAUAGGGACCCGUAUGAACGGCUAAAUGAGGGUAUAACUGUCUCCUGAGGCCAAUCAAUGAAACUGAUCUUCCAGUACAAAAGCUGAAAUACGCACACAAGACGAGAAGACCCUGUGGAACUUUUAACGUACCCACUAACACCCCCCGUGAAAUAGUGAACACUUUAAGUUGGGGCGACUGCGGAGAAAAACAAACCCUCCGUGUAAUAAAGGCUUACCCCCCUCCAAGGCCAACACGCCUACAAGACUAAACCAAUGACCCAGACAACUGAAUAACGAACCAAGCUACCCCAGGGAUAACAGCGCCAUCCCCCUCAAGAGUCCAUAUCGACAGGGGGGUUUACGACCUCGAUGUUGGAUCAGGGCCCCCAAGUGGUGCAGCCGCUACUAAUGGUCCGUUUGUUCAACGGUUAAUGCCCUACGUGAUCUGAG